rnacentral:rRNA from 1 species
AUGAAGGAGUACGCCUCUGAGGUGAGAGUCAUAAGUCGGCUUCGGCACCGCAACCUUGUGCAGAUCUUUGGCUGGUGCCACGCCGGCGGCGAGCUCCUCCUGGUCUAUGAGCUGAUGCCCAACAGCAGCCUCGACGUCCAUCUUCACGGCACGAAAAAUGUACUAUGGUGGCCAGUCAGGCAUAAGAUCGUGCUGGGGAUCGGCUCUGCGCUUUUCUACCUGCAUGAGGAAUGGGAGCAAUGCGUUCUGCAUAGGGACAUCAAGACCAGCAACAUGAUGCUGGAUGCGUUGUUCAACGCCAAACUUGGCGACUUCGGGCUCGCCAGGCUCGUCGACCACGACACAGGGUCGCACACGACUGAGCUCGCUGGCACAUUGGGGUACAUGGACCCGGAGUGCACGGUCACUGGGAGAGCCAGCACGGAGUCAGAUGUCUAUAGCUUCGGCGUCGUGCUGCUCGAGAUCGUGUGUGGGCGGAGGCCCACCGCGGCUCGGCCGGACGGCACGCUGAUCCAUCUGGCGCAGCGGGUGUCGGAGCUGUACGGCCAAGGGACAAUCCUCGACGCGGCUGAUGCGCGGCUGGACGGGAACUUCCACCCCCAAGAGGUGGAGCGCGUGUUGGUCGUUGGCCUGUGGUGCACAUGCCAUGACCGGAACCUACGGCCAUCCAUAAGGCAGGCUAUCAACGUGCUGCGGUUGGAGGCGCCGCUCCCAGAGAGGUUGCCGCCUGUUGGCCAUCCGGCCGGCCCUCUUCCCAUGCCAGACUCCGAUACGGGUCACAGCUCCUGCACCAGCACCGCUCAGCAGCCAAUGUAA